rnacentral:tRNA from 1 species
CGGAUACAGGCGCAGAUGGAAGCACGCCUGCUUUGGGAGCAGGAGGGUCUCGGUUCGACUCCGAGGUGUCCGAC